AUACUCUCAACCUUCUUGGUUGCUUUGACCAGGAAGGCUUGGACUUUGGAGGUUUUCCUUGCUGGCCUCUUUUUGAAGCCAGCUCCUCCUAAAUGAAUUGGUGGGGUCCACUUUGGUGAUCCUUGACGUGAUAAGGAUUUCUUCUACGUCUUGGGUUUCGCAGUGUAACCGCUGAACUUAAGCAUAUCAAUAAGCGGAGGCU
rnacentral:misc_RNA from 1 species